GUUCUGGAAACGACGAUGCACUUGUGAGUCAUAGACCAAUCAAUAUAUUUUAAAAUAAUUAUAUCUACUUAAUACAUUCUUUAAAAAUAACAUACUUUUUGACUAUUUUCAGGGUUACUGUACCCAAAAUACCAAUUUGACCCCUAUUACUAAGAUAGCUCAUAAUCCACAAUAAGAAGAUAACUGGAAUUUCUAUAAUACUAAUAAUACAAAGAUAUAAUUCAUACAAAGACAUUUAAAGAGAUUAGACCGACCAUACAAGCUGUUACUAUGAAGUCCGCGUCAAUAAUUUUUUUGCAGGGUAUAUGGGCGUGGCGGCCAUGACGCGAUCAAAAUUGACCAAUCACAUCUAGCCAAAAGCGGUCAAUGUCGACCAGGCACAGAGUGUGUAUUCGAAUCUAAAGGGCCGACAACGCUUCUGUGCGUCCAAUGGUGUUGCAAGAGAGCAGAGCCAGCGGGGAUCACUCCAUCACGACAAUGCGAGCUCUCACACCGCGCACAGAACAAAAGAGUUUUUAGAGCAAGAAAACAUAGAAUUAUUAGACCAUCCGCCGUACAGCCCCGACCUAAGCCCUAAUGAUUUCUAUACUUUCCCUCAAAUAAAGACUAAAUUGCGUGGUCGGAGAUUUUCAUCACCUGAAGAAGCGGACGCCUACAAAACGGCCAUUUUGGAGACCCCAACUUCCGAAUGAAAUGGUUGCGUCAAUGAUUGGUUCCAUCGUAUGAAAAAAUGAGUCAAAUUUCGCGGAGAAUACUUCGAAAAGCAAUAAAUGCAUUUUUAAAUA